UGCUACAAUGAUGACAUUUAUUUGCUACUCUUGACUGCAAGAAUGACGAUAGACUAAACCACCAUUAUUUUAACUGAGGCA
ensembl:snoRNA SNORD24 Small nucleolar RNA SNORD24